rnacentral:lncRNA from 1 species
AAAAGCUAGGACUACUGGAAAAAAAAGUAUAGAGGAAAAAAAAUAGUUACUGGAUGCCAGCCAGAUCUGCAAAAAGUCCCCACUCUGCCACUUACUAGCUAUGUGGCCUCAAAUAAGCCACUAGAUCUUUUGUAGCCUCAGUUUCUUCAUCUGUAAAAUGGGUAUAACAUCAUUUGUCUUAUCUGUCUCACAGGGUGUGUGAGUCUCAGGUGAGAUAACACACGAGAAAACAUUGUGCCGCACAACUUGAGAUGCAAACAGUAACGAUCACAACCCCACAUGCCUUUUGAUAGGGUGAAUGAUCACAGCAUCCUGUGUUAGGGAGGAAAGGGUGAGCACAGACGCUUCAAAACUCUGUCUUACCCACAGGCAGAAGGGUGUAGCCUGGCCAGGGGAGAAAAGGACCCAGCCACUGCCACCGCCCCGCAGCUCACACCGGAUGUGCGACAGAGCCACCAUGCAGCCCCACAGGAUGUCCUCCAACCACUACAGACUGUGGGGCUUUGCUUUUUUUUUUUUUUUUUUUUUUUUAAGAAAAAGGUUUUCUAGUUUCUUCUACAUUAAAAAUAAUCCCUCCUUCUCAUAAAGCACAAUUUUACAGAGGAAAAGGGAGAUGUGAAACUAUACACAAUUCAAAUCUAAUUAAUAUAUAAUUUUUUUGUGGAAUACAGAUGGAGGGAAUACAUCACAAUACUAAAGGUGAUUAUCUUUGGAUGGUGGGAUUACAGGUGAUUAUAUAUUUUUUAUAUUUCUAUAGUUUAAAAAUAUUCCAUGAUGACCUAUAAUUACUUUUACUUAUUUUUUGAGACAAAAUCUCACCCUGUUGACCAAGGCUGGAGCGCAGUGGUGCAAUCUCGGCUUAGUGCAAUCUCGGUGUAGUCUCGACCUCACAGGCUCAAGUGAUCCUCCCACCUCAGCCUCCGGAGAAGCUGGGACUACAGCUCUUUGCCCAGCUUCCAGUGACUCCUCUGUGCCUGGAGAGAAGGGCAAGCGCCUUACUCAUGCCUUGAGGUUGCUGACCACUUCCGUCACCAGCCUCGCUCCUUCCAGACCUGCCCUGGGAGUCCCUGCCUCCUGGCCUUCACCUGCAUCACGGUCUGCACUUCUCAGAGCCCUGCCCUUCCUUGAAGAACAAAGCCUGGCCAAAUUGUGUCAGCCUUCUGGCCUGCAGUGACCCCUGCUUACAUCGUACAUAACAAUAGCUAUAACUUAUUGACAUUAACUUCAGGUCACAUAGCAAAAGUGCUCUCAUUUAAAUCUUAGGCCACCAGAGGAUCCAUAGACUAAAAUGUUAACAGCAUCUCCUGGAGUUGUGGAGUGUGGUGACCCUAUGUGAUCCUCCUGUGCCACUGAGAGAUAUAUUAUUAACCCAGUUUCACUGAUAAGAUAACUGAGGCUCAGAGAGGUCAAGUAACUUGCCCAUGGUCACACAGUGGGUCCAUGGCAGAGCUGGGAGGUGAUCCCUAGUCAGUUCCCUCCAAGUCCAGGAUUUUCUCACUCCCACAAUGGUGUCUCCCUUAAUGACUCUCACAUUCCAGCCUCUGAGGGCAGGAAGGGUAUGUUCUGAGUUGAACACACAGAGAGCACUCAAUGAUGUCUGGUGGUGAAGAUGUUAAUCAUGAGCUCAAUCAAGGUUUAUCAUUAAAUCAACAAGUCUUCCUAGUGUGUCUGGGAGCUCUGGGGCCCAGGGACAGGCCUACUGUAGUUCAGUGUUGUAUUCUGGCACCUGGUGGUUUCUGGCACAUAGCCCAUGUUCAUUAAAUGACAUGAAUUGAUUGUCCAUUCAAAUAAUAAAACAAUAAAUAAAUAAUACUAGCUAACAGGUAUGGAGUGCCUACAAGCCAGCCACCUCAGGGAGUUUCCAGGACAGUUGAGGAGAAACAUAACACUGUUGACAAGAGCUACAACGUAGGGUUUUACACCAAAACAGUGUCUACGUAAACAGUGUCUAUCAAAGAGAGAAAAAUGAUGGGCAGACACCCUGAUCCUUCCCACAGUGCUAAAGGCCAUGCCAGCCACUGUCCCCAUUACGACUUGCAUAUACUGACUGCCGAAGCACACAAACCUGAAUUUUCCGUCUGCAUCCAUCGUUCUGUCUGUUCGGAUCACAUCUGGAUACUACUGUUGCCUCUCCAGACUGGAUAACCAGUCUGCUGAGGGCCAGAAGAUGGUGAGAUGGAAACUAGUCAUGUUUACUUGGAGAAGAGAAAUGAAGACCGUCUUUAACACCUGACAGGUUGCUCUUCCCAAGAGGGGCCAGAGGGCAACAGCCAUGGUCAACAGCUCCAGGCACCCCUGAGGAAGCCUGCUCCAGCUGGCAGGGCUGUCUGGCAAGGGACCAGUCCCUCCUCUGGAGAAGUGGUGAGCCCAGUGGGCUGCCUCUCCAGCAGGAUCCUGUAGAGACCUUACUCUCUACAAUGCACACUCCACACACUUGCUCACUUGACAAACACUUAUUAUAACUGUCACCCUGGGCCCAUUCCAGGUUAGGGACAUAAGGAUGAAUAAAACAAGGUCUGUACCAGUAGAGAACAUCAGUCCUCUAGGGGAGAAAGUCAGGAAAGCCUCAUCCUGAGCCUUCGACUCCUUACUGUCCAUCCUCUAGGCUCCUGUCUCAGCUUCUGCUGAAGGCUAUUUUCUUCCUUGUAUUCUGCAGUGACCAGGCAUAUGGCAGAUAAUCAACAAAUACAGGCAUCCCUGAAGAGGGUAUCCUGGGAUAAAAGCCCCAGCUGGAUCAGUGCUAUACAGGGGCCAACUGGGGGUGGGUUCCAGGCAGGGUCAUUUGCAAGGGUCCCUCUGCCCCUUCAAGUCCUGCCAGACAGGCCUUGGCCAUGGUUUCUUCCUGCCCCUGUCCCCUGACCACAGUUGAUCUCCCCUGGCUGUUAUGAAAUGUCAAAGAAUGUCCUGCAAUCCUAAAUUCCAUAAUGAUCUUUAUCUUCUGUUCCCUCUGAGGCUCCUCAAUCUGCAGUAACAGCUGUGGUUCAGCAAGCAGUGCGGCACUCUGGAGUGCUGUUCUGAAACAGGGCCGGCGUGGGGCAGAGCUCAUCUGCUGCCCUAUCCAUUCACUGUGCUGUUCGGGGCUAGAGAAGAUUCAUGUGUGUAUAUGCUUUUUAAAAAUUGUGAAACAAUAAUUAUGCAGAAAAAUACAUAGAAUAUAUGUUCAGUUUAACAAAUAAUCAUAAAGCAAAUCUCUAUAAAACCACUGCUGCUCUGCAGUGACCCCUGCUUCCCCCUAAGUCGUGCAUAACAAUAGCUACAAUUUACUGACCAUGAACUUCAGGUCACACAGCAAAGGUGUUCUCAUUUAAUCUUUGGCCACCAGAGGCUGCAUAGACUAAAAUGUGAACAGUGUCCCCUGCAGUUGUGGAGUGUGGUGACCCUAUUGGAUCUUCUCAUGCCACUGAGGGAUAUACUGUUUUCUGUAGAGAAGUCCAGCAGAGUCACUGUCCUGGGGGGCAUCCUUCUUGAUCGCCCCCAUGCCAUGAAGGCCCAUUCCUUGCCCAGGGCUCUAGAGUCUGAGCUUCUCCAAGAGGGAAUGGAGUCUUUCGCAGAGGGGCUGUGGAGCCUCGUAAGGCUGAAUCUAACCACGAGCAGGGAUUUUGGGCAGCUGCAUAUCCCAGAUGGUUUCCCAGUGGAUCAGCUUCCUGUUGCUGCUCUAAUAAACUAACAUAAACUUAGGGGCUUAAAACAACACAAAUUUCUUUUCUUAUAGUUCCGUAGGUCAGAAGUCCAAAACAGGUCUCACUGGGCUAAACUGAAGGUGUCAGCAGGGCUGCAUUCCUUCCUGGGGGCUCUAGUAGAGAAUCUCUUUCCUUUCUUCCCCUUUCCAGCUUUUAGAGGCUGCCUGCAUUCCUUGGCCUGCGGCCCCUUCCUCCACCUUCAAAGCCAGCACUGGCUGGCCAGGUCUUUCAUAUAUUGCAAUCUCUCUGCUUCUGCUUCUGCUUCUGACCCUUCUGCCUCUCUCUUCUCCAUUUAAGAAUGCUUGUGAUUACAUUGGGCUCACCCACCCCAGUUUCUACCCAAUAAUCCAGGGUAAUCUCCCAAACUUAAAGAGAGAAAACAAUACUAGCACCCCCAAAGCACCUACGUGUUCCCCUACUAAUCACAACCCCAACCCUCCCUUCUGCAUAAGUAGACAUUUGUAAUAAUUCUGUGCUUUUUGUAGUUUGACCUCCUCUGCAUGUAUCCUUAACAAUACAGUUUUGCCAGCUGUUAAAUUUUUGCUAAAAGGAAUUAUACUGUAUGCAUUCUUUUGUAGGUUUUAUUCAUUGAUGAGUCAUUUGUUAUUACAGUAUUAUUAUCCAAUAUGACAAUAUUACAGUUAUUGCAAGUCGCUGUAGUUCAUUUCACUCCAGGAACACUGCACAAUUUAUUUGUACUCUCCACUUUUGAUGGUCAUUUGGACAUUUUCUGGUGCUGUGUGGGUAUUCUGGUGCACAUGGGUAAGAGUGUGGUUUGAGAAGAGUCUGAGGAGUGGGACUCUUGGGUUACAGGGUAUAUAUAUGUUUUCAUCUUUUAAAAAAAUUUAUAUUAUUCAUUUUUUUAAAGACUAGUCGCUGGGCGCGGUGGCUCACACCUGUAAUCCCAGCACUUUGGGAGGCCGAGGCCGGUGGAUCAUGAGGUUGGGAGAUUGAAACCAUCCUGGCUAACACGGUGAAAUCCCAUCUCUAUUAAAAAUACAAAAAAUUAGCCAGGCGUGGUGGCAGGCGCCUGUAGUCCCAGCUACUCAGGAGGCUGAGGCAAGAGAAUGGCGUGAACCCGGGAGGCAGAGCUUGCAGUGAGCUGAGAUCGCGCCACUGCACUCCAGCCUGGGUGACAAAGCGAGACUCCAUCUCAAAAAAAAAACAAAAAACAACAACAAAAAAAGACUAGUCAAGGGCAGUAGUGAGAAGGGGGAAAAGAGUAGAACAAGGAGUUCGAUCUGUAACUGACUGUGAAGUCAAUUGAGAUAAUUCACUACCUUCAGAUCAGCCAUGUUUUCAUCUUUACCAGAUCACUUAUAUGCUUUAUUUUCUUUACUUAUAUACUUUUUAAUCCUGAAAGUGUUUCUCAGGGAAACAGUGGUAUUACACCCAGUUGUUUAGGUAGAAGAAAUGGGGUAUGUCUGCCCUUACAGUGUGACCUUCCCACCUUCUGUCUUCAGAACCCUGUCCCCUCCAUCCCAGAUAGCCCUGUGCCCUCUGGAAUCCACAGGCUGGCCCCUCAGUAGCCUCCCUACCUUGCAGUUGGGUGGGGGGUGGGAGGAGGUCAAGAAAGAGGAAGUG